rnacentral:lncRNA from 1 species
GUUUCCUUUGACGCUCAGAACGGCUGCGUUCCGUAUGGCAUCCGCAAGCCUCGCGGAGUGCACGACGACGAGCGCGGCGACAGUCGUUCUCUUUUGCUUGUGAUCGUUUACCUGUCAAAAAAGAAUUUGAGGAGGUAAACGCUCACAAGGAAAGGGAACGACUUUCACCGCGCUCGUAGUCGCGCACCCCGCGAGGCUCCCAAGCGCCGUACGGCACGCAGUUAACGCUUGGAAAUUGUGUCAUUUGAAGUUCGCGUGUAACAUCGCCUCAAACCUUUCCCGCUUUCUUUUAAGGUUUUGUGUCAAACAAACCAAUUGUCACGAAAUUUGACUGGUCAUGUGGAGUAUCAAACGAAAGGACUCGAUUAGUACUUUCUGAAACUGAUAUU